rnacentral:rRNA from 1 species
AGUGGCGGACGGGUGAGUAACACGUGAGCAACCUCGCCUUUCAGAGAGGAGUAGUUUCUGGAAACGGAUGGUAAUACCUCAUAACAUAUGAAUUUGGCAUCUUAUUCAUAUCAAAGAUUUUAUCGCUGAAAGAUGGGCUCGCGUCUGAUUAGCUUGUUGGUGAGGUAACGGCCCACCAAGGCAACGAUCAGUAGCCGGACUGAGAGGUUGAACGGCCACAUUGGGACUGAGACACGGCCCAGACUCCUACGGGAGGCAGCAGUGGGGAAUAUUGCACAAUGGGCGCAAGCCUGAUGCAGCGAUGCCGCGUGAGGGAAGAAGGUUUUCGGAUUGUAAACCUCUGUCAUCGGGGACGAAAAUGACGGUACCCGAGAAGGAAGCUCCGGCUAACUACGUGCCAGCAGCGGC